GUGGGGAAUAUUGGACAAUGGGCGCAAGCCUGAUCCAGCCAUGCCGCGUGAGUGAUGAAGGCCCUAGGGUUGUAAAGCUCUUUCACCGGUGAAGAUAAUGACGGUAACCGGAGAAGAAGCCCCGGCUAACUUCGUGCCAGCAGCCGCGGUAAUACGAAGGGGGCUAGCGUUGUUCGGAAUUACUGGGCGUAAAGCGCACGUAGGCGGACAUUUAAGUCAGGGGUGAAAUCCCAGAGCUCAACUCUGGAACUGCCUUUGAUACUGGGUGUCUUGAGUAUGGAAGAGGUAAGUGGAAUUCCGAGUGUAGAGGUGAAAUUCGUAGAUAUUCGGAAGAACACCAGUGGCGAAGGCGACACACUGGCCCGUUACUGACGCUGAGGCGCGAAAGCGUGGGGAGCAAACAGGAUUAGAAACCCGAGUAGUCC
rnacentral:rRNA from 1 species